rnacentral:rRNA from 1 species
GAUGAACGCUGACAGAAUGCUUAACACAUGCAAGUCAACUUGAAUUUGGGUUUUUAACUUAGAUUUGGGUGGCGGACGGGUGAGUAACGCGUAAAGAACUUGCCUCACGGCUAGGGACAACAUUUAGAAAUGAAUGCUAAUACCUGAUAUUAUGAUUUUAAGGCAUCUUAGAAUUAUGAAAGCUAUAAGCACUGUGAGAGAGCUUUGCGUCCCAUUAGCUAGUUGGAGAGGUAACAGCUCACCAAGGCGAUGAUGGGUAGCCGGCCUGAGAGGGUGAACGGCCACAAGGGGACUGAGACACGGCCCUUACUCCUACGGGAGGCAGCAGUGGGGAAUAUUGGACAAUGGACCGAGAGUCUGAUCCAGCAAUUCUGUGUGCACGAUGAAGUUUUUCGGAAUGUAAAGUGCUUUCAGUUGGGAAGAAACAAAUGACGGUACCAACAGAAGAAGUGACGGCUAAAUACGUGCCAGCAGCCGCGGUAAUACGUAUGUCACGAGCGUUAUCCGGAUUUAUUGGGCGUAAAGCGCGUCUAGGUGGUUAUGUAAGUCUGAUGUGAAAAUGCAGGGCUCAACUCUGUAUUGCGUUGGAAACUGUAUAACUAGAGUACUGGAGAGGUAAGCGGAACUACAAGUGUAGAGGUGAAAUUCGUAGAUAUUUGUAGGAAUGCCGAUGGGGAAGCCAGCUUACUGGACAGAUACUGACGCUAAAGCGCGAAAGCGUGGGGAGCAAACAGG